GAAAAUCCGUCGACUUUAAAAAUCGUGAGGGUUC
rnacentral:tRNA from 2 species